rnacentral:rRNA from 1 species
ACGAACGCUGGCGGCGUGCUUAACACAUGCAAGUCGAACGGAAAGGCCCUGCUUUUGUGGGGUGCUCGAGUGGCGAACGGGUGAGUAACACGUGAGUAACCUGCCCUUGACUUUGGGAUAACUUCAGGAAACUGGGGCUAAUACCGGAUAGGAGCUCCUGCUGCAUGGUGGGGGUUGGAAAGUUUCGGCGGUUGGGGAUGGACUCGCGGCUUAUCAGCUUGUUGGUGGGGUAGUGGCUUACCAAGGCUUUGACGGGUAGCCGGCCUGAGAGGGUGACCGGCCACAUUGGGACUGAGAUACGGCCCAGACUCCUACGGGAGGCAGCAGUGGGGAAUAUUGCACAAUGGGCGGAAGACUGAUGCAGCAACGCCGCGUGCGGGAUGACGGCCUUCGGGUUGUAAACCGCUUUCGCCUGUGACGAAGCGUGAGUGACGGUAAUGGGUAAAGAAGCACCGGCUAACUACGU